UUAAGCAUAUCAAUAAGCGGAGGAAAAGAAACCAACAGGGAUUGCCCUAGUAACGGCGAGUGAAGCGGCAACAGCUCAAAUUUGAAAUCUGGCUCUUUCAGGGUCCGAGUUGUAAUUUGUAGAGGGUGCUUUGGAGUUGACUGUGGUCUAAGUUCCUUGGAACAGGACGUCGCAGAGGGUGAGAAUCCCGUAUGUGGCCGCCAGUCUUCACCGUGUAAAGCCCCUUCGACGAGUCGAGUUGUUUGGGAAUGCAGCUCUAAAUGGGAGGUAAAUUUCUUCUAAAGCUAAAUAUUGGCCAGAGACCGAUAGCGCACAAGUAGAGUGAUCGAAAGAUGAAAAGCACUUUGGAAAGAGAGUCAAAAAGCACGUGAAAUUGUUGAAAGGGAAGCGCUUGCAGCCAGACUUGCCUGUAGUUGCUCAUCCGGGCUUUUGCCCGGUGCACUCUUCUAUAGGCAGGCCAGCAUCAGUCCCGGCGGUUGGAUAAAUGUCUGUUCCAUGUACCUCUCUUCGGGGAGGACUUAUAGCGCAGGCGGCAUACAACCAGCUGGGAUUGAGGUCCGCGCAUCUGCUAGGAUGCUGGCGUAAUGGCUGUAAGCGGCCCGUCUUGAAACACGGACCAAGGAGUCUAACAUCUAUGCGAGUGUUUGGGUGUCAAGCCCGAGCGCGUAAUGAAAGUGAACGGAGGUGGGAACCCCUCGGGGUGCACCAUCGACCGAUCCUGAUGUCUUCGGAUGGAUUUGAGUAAGAGCAUAGCUGUUGGGACCCGAAAGAUGGUGAACUAUGCCUGAAUAGGGUGAAGCCAGAGGAAACUCUGGUGGAGGCUCGCAGCGGUUCUGACGUGCAAAUCGAUCGUCAAAUUUGGGCAUAGGGGCGAAAGACUAAUCGAACUAUCUAGUAGCUGGUUCCUGCCGAAGUUUCCCUCAGGAUAGCAGUAACGUUUUCAGUUUUAUGAGGUAAAGCGAAUGAUUAGAGGCCUGGGGGUUGAAACA
rnacentral:rRNA from 1 species